UUCCAAUUCAAAUGUCAUAUUUCACAACGAGUGGAACUGAUUAGUUCAACUGUGAAAUAACUUAUUCCAAUUCUACAAAAAGUACAUUUCAAUCCUUCAAACAAAAAUGAACUGUGAUAUUUUUUAUAAAGGACCGAAACUUAGUAUUUCAGCUAUUUCACUGAUUUCAGACAUCACAAAAUAUGGAUUUCAAAUAUUUGCACAUCAAUUUUGACAAUUCCAGAAAGAAACUUGAUUCACAAUUAAAAUAUAUUGUAAUUGCACUGAAAGUGCCCAAGUUGUAUUGUUUCACAAUUCACAUCAAAUACAACUACUGAAUUCUCAUUUCACCUCCAGAAAACAAUAACUAAUUAUCUUCACAUAAGAAGAACUGAAACUGAAUCCACGGCAAGGAGCAUGGGAGGCCAUCUGGUAAAAAGGCAAGGGAAGUUCAAAUCAUGCACAACAAAACAAAUUCAUUUGGAAUACAGAGAGAGAUGCAAGGGGAGGUGGGCUUCAUAGCUCACCAGAGGGAUGCAGCCAGGUCCGCGGGAGAGAGAAAGGGGAAGGGAUCUGGCGGCGGCUAUGCUUGGAGUCGCCGGAUCCGGCGGCAACCGCGCGAAGGGACGCGUCGUGGGGGCCGCGCUGCGAGAUCCACUCAUGGCGACACCAGCGGACGGGCAACAAGGACGAAGGAGGACGGGAGCCUCACGCCGGCCAGGGAAAGCCACGUCAUCGCCGCCAACCUGCCUCGCUGGUUCUCUGUUGAAGACGAGGUCGUCCGACCAUGAAUCCGUCGUUGUUGGGCUGGCAACUGGCCGGGGAAGCGGAUCCGGCGGCCGGAGUUGGGACGGUCGCCGGAUCCGGUCGCCAGAGAUGGAGAGAGGUUGGGUACGGGGUGGGCUGGGAGAGACGGGGGCACGGGACAGGUUGGGAGAUAUUUAUCCUUCGGCCCCGUCGAUGUAUUCCUUUCGUAUAUGUUCUGUAUCAGCGGAAGAAAAGAAAAUUAACUCUAUAUGGGUCCAACACAGCACUAAUCUAAAAGCAACCUUGUGUGGUAGAUUCUUUGCAGGUACAUACCGGAACCGGUAAAAAAACUUAGUCGCUGGACAAGGCGGGGAGAGAGACAGGCUCGACCCACAUGGCUAACUCUAGAGAGGUUCUUAAAUAGCAAUGGGCUACGCCUUGUCUCGCCGAGCUCAAUGGGCCGAAUGUGCGCGGGCGGCCGUUUAAUGAAUCUUUUGAUUGAAACCAAGCACACUCUGUGUGGGGCAGGUAGCUCA
rnacentral:lncRNA from 1 species